rfam:Lyngbya majuscula 3L genomic scaffold scf46079, whole genome shotgun sequence.
GGGCGAUUAGCACAGUGGUAGCGCGCUUCCUUCACACGGAAGAGGUCACUGGUUCGAACCCAGUAUCGCCCA